rfam:Ancylostoma duodenale strain Zhejiang A_duodenale-1.0_Cont4630.3, whole genome shotgun sequence.
AAACUUACCUGGCUGGGGGCGUCUCGCGAUCAUCAAGGCGGAACCCCCAUAGUGAGCCCCGCGCAUUGCACUUUCGCCCGGGCUGACUCGUGUGGCAGUCUCGAACUGAGAUUCGCCAACAGCUAAGGGGCUGCGUACGCGCGGCCCUGAC